ensembl:rRNA 5S_rRNA 5S ribosomal RNA
UGCUACAGUCAUGUCAACCUGCAGCCCAAGACUGGUUACUUACUGAAGCUAAGCAGGGUUGAGCCUAGUCAGUACCUGGGAUGGGAGACCACAUGUGAAAACUAGGUUGCUGUUGGAA